AUUGAACGCUGGCGGCAGGCCUAACACAUGCAAGUCGAGCGAGCGGCGGACGGGCGAGUAAUGUAUGGGGACUGCCUGAUAGAGGGGGAUAACUACUGGAAACGGUGGCUAAUACCGCAUACUAUCGGAUAACCCAUAUGGGAUGAGCUAGUUGGUGGGGUAAAGGCUCACAUAGGCGACGAUCCCUAGCUGGUCUGAGAGGAUGAUCAGCCACACUGGAACUGAGACACGGCCCAGACGCCGAGGAAGGAAGCAGUGGGGAAUAUGGCACAAUGGGCGCAAGCCUGAUACAGCCAUGCCGCGGGUAUGAAGAAGGCCUUAGGGUUGUAAAGUACUUGCAGCGGGGAGGCGUUACCCGCAGAAGAAGCACCGGCUAACUCCGUGCCAGCAGCCGCGGUAAUAC
rnacentral:rRNA from 1 species